rnacentral:rRNA from 1 species
UCAGCAGCCGCGGUAAUACGGAGGGUCCAGGCGUUAUCCGGAUUAUUGGGUUUAAAGGGAGCGUAGGCUGGAGAUUAAGUGUGUUGUGAAAUGUAGACGCUCAACGUCUGAAUUGCAGCGCAUACUGGUUUCCUUGAGUACGCACAACGUUGGCGGAAUUCGUCGUGUAGCGGUGAAAUGCUUAGAUAUGACGAAGAACUCCGAUUGCGAAGGCAGCUGACGGGAGCGCAACUGACGCUUAAGCUCGAAGGUGCGGGUAUCAAACAGGAUUAGAUACCCUGGUAGUCCGCACAGUAAACGAUGGAUGCCCGCUGUUGGUACCUGGUAUCAGCGGCUAAGCGAAAGCAUUAAGCAUCCCACCUGGGGAGUACGCCGGCAACGGUGAAACUCAAAGGAAUUGACGGGGGCCCGCACAAGCGGAGGAACAUGUGGUUUAAUUCGAUGAUACGCGAGGAACCUUACCCGGGAUUGAAAUGUAGAUGACCGCUCUUGAAAGGGAGUUUUCCUUCGGGACAUCUAUGUAGGUGCUGCAUGGUUGUCGUCAGCUCGUGCCGUGAGGUGUCGGCUUAAGUGCCAUAACGAGCGCAACCCCUGUCUACGGUUGCCAUCAGGUAAUGCUGGGAACUCCGUAGAGACUGCCGUCGUAAGGCGUGAGGAAGGUGGGGAUGACGUCAAAUCAGCACGGCCCUUACAUCCGGGGCGACACACGUGUUACAAUGGUAAGGACAAAGGGCAGCUACCUGGCGACAGGAUGCGAAUCUCUAAACCUUAUCACAGUUCGGAUCGGAGUCUGCAACUCGACUCCGUGAAGCUGGAUUCGCUAGUAAUCGCGCAUCAGCCAUGGCGCGGUGAAUACGUUCCCGGGCCUUGUACACACCGCCCGUCAAGCCAUGGGAGUCUGGAGUACCUAAAGUCCGUAACCGCAAGGGUCGGCCUAGGGUAAUACAGGUGACUGGGGCUAAGUCGUAACAAGGUAGCCGU